AACGGAGGUUUCGAUCGUUAUUGGGAAUUACUGGGCGUAAAGCGCGCGUAGGCGGCGUGAUAAGCCGGUUGUGAAAGCCCCGGGCUCAACCUGGGAACGGCAUCCGGAACUGUCAGGCUAGAGUGCAGGAGAGGAAGGUAGAAUUCCCGGUGUAGCGGUGAAAUGCGUAGAGAUCGGGAGGAAUACCAGUGGCGAAGGCGGCCUUCUGGACUGACACUGACGCUGAGGUGCGAAAGCGUGGGUAGCAAACAGG
rnacentral:misc_RNA from 1 species